rnacentral:rRNA from 1 species
AUUGAACGCUGGCGGCAGGCCUAACACAAUCAAGUCGAACGAGUGGCGGACGGGUGAGUAAUGUCUGGGAAACUGCCUGAUGGAGGGGGAUAACUACUGGAAACGGUAGCUAAUACCGCAUACCAGCGGCUGUGCCCAGAUGGGAUUAGCUAGUAGGUGGGGUAAUGGUUCACCUAGGCGACGAGCCCUAGCUGGUCUGAGAGGAUGACCAGCCACACUGGGACUGAGACACGGUCCAGACUCCUACGGGAGGCAGCAGUGGGGAAUAUUGCACAAUGGGCGCAAGCCUGAGGCAGCCAUGCCGGGUGUGUGAAGAAGGCCUUCGGGUUGUAAAGCACUUUCAGCGAGGAGGCGUUACUCGCAGAAGAAGCACCGGCUAACUCCGUGCCAGCAGCCGCGGUAAUAC